CAGCCCAGCUUCUUUUCCCCCGCGCAACCCCAUCAGCAACCGGCGGCGGCGGCGGCGGCGGCGGCGUCGGCGGGGGGCAGCCCUGAGCGCAGGCGGAAGUGCAGCCCACGAGUGGGCGGGAGGGCAGUCGGCGUGCGGCUCGCGCGGCCCCGAGGAUCCUCGAGCAGCAGGGAGCGCGGCCGCUGGACCGGCAGCAGGGCUAAACCUGCACGGCUGCGCAAGCAGUUCAAAUCGGGAGCUGCGGGCCCGCUGAGCGCCGUUUUCCCCUCCACUGCGUUCUGCCCCGGCGGUCGCGGCGGCCUCGAGCGUGCUCCGUUGGUUGUCACGGAGCAUCCUCCCCUCCCUUUCCUUCCUGUGUACUAGCCGCUCGCAUGGUACUCUGAUUUUCAGUAGCGGAUUGAAUGUGGGAGACUGAAUGGUGUCAGAAAGGCUUUUCCCUUUUUGUUGUGCUAUUUUGGUGUGUGAUGGAUCCGUGGAUGCUCCAUCUUGGUGGUGUUGAUGUAGAAAUGUGCUUUGUUUAUUUCUAUAGGUUCAUGAGCACCCUUUCGACUCAUUGCCUCAUCCAUAGAACUAGCUAUUCAGUAUUAUACACCUAAUUUCUCAUGUUUUUGGUUAAUUUGUUUUUCCAGUAACACAUUGUACAUGCUUGGAUUUAGUAACAUGGUGAUCCAGUUAUUCAUUCCUAGCUAGUGAUUUCUUUAUACAAAUUCGUCGAGCAAAUUCAUAGAAUUUUUUGUGACUCAGCAAUGCCAAUGUACACAUCUUGGAUUCAGUAAUCUGGAGCCACAUUAAUAAAUAUUUAGUAAUUCA